rnacentral:lncRNA from 1 species
UUGCAACGCUUCCCGCCUGAUUGCGGCCGCCCUCUUGCAAUCACCCAAUUUCGAUUCCAAGGAAUACGAAGGGGUUGUACCAGCCACUACAGAUUUAAUUAUUUCUUCAUCUUCCUCCGUUAGUACCGUCACAGGCUUUUCAUCGAACACCUUCUGAACGGUCACGAUUGGUGCCGCAGGAGGCAGAGGUGGAAGCGAACAAUCGAGAGCUUGCCCGCAAGGGACCUUACGGGCAUCUUCCUUUGCAAGCAGAACUUCAUCAUCCUCUUCCUCGUCCUCGGCAAUCCAAACGUCAGGCGAUGGUUGGAAAACCAAAGAUUGAACGAAGUCAAUCCCAAAGAAACCCAAAAGGUAAAUAAAGGACGCUAAAAAUGAGAGAAUGGCGAUGAUCUCGGAAAAGGUGACGACAUGGAGAGGUGUGGAGGUACGGAUCUUCUCACGCCAACGGGAAAGAAGAAAAUAAACCACCGAGAAGAAGAGGGUGAAGAACAGGGCAUUCGUUAGGUGCAAGGGAAGCGGCAAUGCGUCGGAGGCUUUACCGUGAUCUUCCUCUAAAGGAAUCUUCUUCGUUGGCUUGAGAGAUUGAACAGGUUUAGUCGAAUACAGCCGGGGAGCCUCCAUAUUGGGUGUCGACGGCGCGGAAGCCCGGCAGUGGAGAAGGAGAAUAGAAGAGGAGUGGAAGUGAGAGAGGAUUUCAGUUAGUUUUACGAUUAUGGUGAAGGUGGAGUUGGAGAUGCUGGAGUUUAGGGAGGGAAGGGGAGUAUUUAUAGGACAGAGAGUAAAGAGUGGUGGAGCGUGAGGAAAAAGGCGCGUGAAGUGAAGUGUUGGGCCCGUGUGAGUGGGGAGUCAAAGAAAGAAUUUGAAGGGCAGUGUUUGCGUGCAGUGCAUGUGCAUGGGGGCGCAUUGCAUUUUCCUUUCGUUUGGUCUUAUCUCCGUUAACUGCUAUUUUGUAUCUCUUUUAAUUAUUCCUUAUUUUGGGCAUUCAUUAAUUAAUAUGAGACCAUAUUUAAACUUUUGAUGAAUGGUAGUGAUAAAUAUAUAUAAUCUCGAAUAUAAAUCGUAAAAUUAACAUUAAAUAAAUAAAUAUAUAUAAUAUAUGUGAUAAAAUUUAUCAUUAGUAAUAUAGAUAAAGAUCACAGUGGAAUUUACUUCUUCGAUAUUUACAUAUUAUUAGUUUUAUAAUUGUUUAUACAAUGUUUAAAAUUAUAUAUAGCUCCUCUUAAAGGAUAAUGCGCACUCACUGAGUUAGGACUCAAUCGAUAACAAUCUUACAAAUUUUAUUUUAUAUAAAAAGAAGAGCUUCCAUUUUUUAUUAAAAAAUUACAGAUACAAUUGUGUUUAUUUUGAACAAAUGAAUUAUUCAUAUGAAUAUACAUUUUAGGGUAAAUAUUUAUAAAAAUUAAUUUUUUAAACUGGUAUGGUGAUUAACUAUUUAUAUUUAGGGUUUUGCACAGUUUUGUAUACGAUGGUGUAUUAAAUCCUGUGAAAAUAUUUCAAUGGAGAAGGGAGAAUUCAGUCUAUGACAUGAAAUUCAAAAUAGGAUGCCUGCUUUAUUAUUAUAAAUAUUGAUUCAUGCCGUCACCAUUAUUAUUUUAAAUCCUCUAAAUGAUUUAUAUAUUUAUAUAAUUUUGGAUAAUUUAAUUUAUCUUUUAAUGGAAAUGUUAAAAAAAUAAACUAUUAAAAUAGUCACUUUUGUUUACCUUAUAUUACAUUUUAGUUGUUGUAACAUUUUAGUCACUGAGCGGUUAAGUGUCAUUAAUAAUAUAAUGGUAAGCUAAUAUGGCAUGUUAAAUCAUCAUUUCAAACAAAAAAUUCAGGUUAAAUUAUACAAUUGGUCCAAUAUUUCUCUGUUUUGAACAAUUUUUUUCUUUAUUUUCCAUUCUCUUUUAUUUCUCUCUUUGUUUUCCUCCCUUUUUCAUUUUUUUAACUUAAUUUUUCUAUGUUUUCUAUUUGUUAAAACUAGUCCCUAUACUUUUAUUUUUUUGAACAUUUUAAAAUUUUUAAUUUUCCUUUUCUUCUUCUCCUUUAGUUUUAACAAAUGAAAAAUAUAGAAAAAUUACAUUAAAAGAGAUAGAAAAGGGAGAAAAACAGAGGAAGAAGUAGAAGAGAAAGAAAAAUAAAGAAAUUAAAAUGCUCAAAACGAAAAUAAUAUGGGGACCAAAUAUAUAAUUUAACCUAAAAUUUUUGUUUGAAAUGAUGAUUUAAUGUGCCACAUCAGCUUACCGUUACAUCGUUAACGGCUCAGUGACUAAAAUGUUACAACACGUUAACAUAAAUGACUAAAAUGUAACAUUUCAAACAUAACUGACUAAAAUAUAAUAAACUAAAGCAAACAAAAAAGUGACUAUUUUGAUUGUUUCCCUUUAAUAAAUGGUUCAUUACAGUAAUAUAUUAAAUUUAUUCUUAUUUUGUAUUAUUUUUCACAUGUGUAAUAUUCUGAUUAUUUUUUAAUGUUUAAUGUACUAACGUUUAAAUUUAUUCCAUCAUAGCCCAAGAAAAAUAAUAAGAAAUAGACGAUAAGAUUGAAGUAAUAUUUUUUCCAAAAUAACAAGCUUGCAUUCAUGCAUGAGAAUUAUUCAUCACCAUGUGCUAAAGACUUGGACUGUUUGUCAAAGUUUUCUUCAGAAAAAUCAUAUAAUUUAUAAUGGAAGUAUAAGCAGAGUCAGACCAACCAAAGAAGAAUCAUGAUAUCAUCUUUUUUUAUUGCCCAGUAUUUAUUUAGCAAAUAUUGACCGUAAUAUUGUCAUGGUCAGACCAUAUUAUUUUUGCACAAGUGACGCACGAAUAUUCAGUGUAGACUUGCUCAAAACAGUAGGAAAUGAUGAACAAGGUCAUUUCGUAGAAAUUGCAGUCAAUGCUCAUAUUUUGGCUUAAUCCAGCUGGAGUUUAGGUAAAAAUUGAUUCAAAAUUGGAUAACUAUAUAUAUAAUAUUGAUAUCAUAAAUAAGUUAUUUUAAUCCAAGUCAGUUCAAUCCAUGAAUACCUUUAAUAUGUAUACAUGAUAUGAUAUGUGAAAAAUGAGCUCAACUCAUGAAUAUUUCUCAUAUGUAUGCAUGCUUGAUGCAUGAUAUGUGGAAAAUAACUUAACUUGUUGUAUAGGUUUUGUACGGAGUAUGGACGGCAUUUAUAAGUUCAUUUUUGGAACUUGUAUUUUAGAGUGCAGUUGAGAACGUAAAUAAGUUUGUUGAAGUUUUCAGGGGGAGAAUUUAGAGGUGAGUAAUCUAGAUCUUUUGGUACAAAGUGAGGUUGCUCUAGCAGGAUGUGAUAAGACUUGAAUCAUUUGGUGUAUUGGGUUAAAAGAUAGUGGAUUUACUUACUAAGUUAGGCUUCACAAAUAAAGUAAAACUAAACUACGUAAACAACCUUUUGUGUUCUUGUUUUGUUGUUUUUGUCACAAUGCUACCUUCAAUUGGCAUAUCGCAAUUGAAGAAGCAAAAGUUUGUCUGGAAGAAGAAAGAUCCUAAGUGCUUGAUGUACAGUGUUUCGGUAAUGGUUGCUUUCAUCACAUGAUAGGUAAUCAUGCAUACUUUUCUAAUUUUGGAGAUCAUCAUAAGGGUCUAGUCACAUUUGGUGAUGGUAAGAAAUGUCAUAUCCAUGGAAACGGAACACUUAAUGUCCUUGGAAUGCUAAAGUUGAAGAAUGUGUUGAAAGGUCAUAUUGUUAAUGACUUGAAAGCUAAUUUGGUGAGCAUUAUCUAAAUGUGUGACUAAGGCAUGAUUAUCAAUUUCACCAAAGACAAGUAUCUGGUUUCAUCAAAGUCUUAUGAGAAGACUAAUGUUUCUAACUUAGAGUUGUGGCAUGAGAAACUUAGCCACAAUCAUUACAAAGGGCUCCGAAGAUUGGUUUGAUAUGUUGCUGGAAUAGGCAACCCAAAACUAGGUGGUGUCAUUCCUAAAGUCCGUUAUGGAUGCUUGAAAGUUAGAGAGGAUCACAUGGAGAAUCAUCAAAGGUUGUCACAUAUCCAAAUUAUUGCAUCUCUCAAGUUACUACACAUAGAUCUCAUUGGACCUAUGUGAAUCGAGAGCAUUGGAGUAAACCGUUAUGUCCUAGUCUAUGUAGAGGACUUUUCAAGGUACACAUGGGUGAGAUUUUUUAGAGAAUUCUAACACAUCUAAAGAAUUCAGGAAACUAUGCAGAAGAUUUUGUCAAUUUUUAUGACGAGGAAAUGAUCAAACUAAGGCACCGCAAUAUAAUGGAGUUAUGGGACACAAGAACCGUACCAUAUAGGAGAUGGCAUGAGUGUUGCUUAACAACAAAAGAGUUACUCAUAAGUUUUAAGUUGAGGCAGUGAACAUUGCAACCUAUAUCUUUAACAAAGUUCUUACUAGGCGAAAAACUCACAUGACACUUUGUAAGAUGUGAAAUGGGAGGAAGCCAAAUGUCAAGUAUUUCCAUGUGUUUAGAAGUACCUUGAUAGGUGUCGAAUCCACCAAAAAUGAAAUCCUACCCCUAAACAGGAUAUAAAUUAGAAGUUUAAGGAGUAAGGUCGAUCCCACAAGGACUAAUUUAUAUGAACUUGUAGUUUGUUAUAACCAGGACGUAUCGUAAGCAGUUUUGUGCCCAUGAUUUAUGCUAACCUAUACGAAAUAGAAAGAAGGAUUAAAUAUGAAUGUAACUAAAUGUCAAAAAUUAAAUAAUAAUAAUGCAAUAGAAAUAAUCAAAUCAGAAUUAAAAUUGAAUAACCUAAUAAGAUGGAUUUUGACUCUGGCUUUGGAUUGAUCCCAAACAAUGGAUUUUUUCCUCCAAUUGAUAAGUCGGGUAUAGUGACCAAGGAACAACCUCAAAUACCAACCCUUUCGUAUGUAAAUUAACUGCGGGAACAACUCUAAGUUAACCCGUACCAGGUAAAUAACACUGAAAGCAACUUCCAUGAUUUCAUUCCUUGACAACCUCGCGAACUAGAGGGACUCAGCUCAAAUUGACAGCCUCAAUUGCAUGGGUCCACACGCCUACUACCUUUUCCAUCUUUGAUUUUCCAAGUUCUUUUGAAGCAAAAUCCAAGGUUUGUUUGAGCCACAGAGCAUCUUGAAAGAGAAGUUGCUAAGUUGAAAUUCUCUCCAAAAUGGCUCGAGGGAAAACAUGAAUCAAUAGCCCCAACUGAUCUAACUGAAGGAGAAGAAAAAGUUGAAUCUGACCUUGAAACUGUAGCAAUUGCUCCUAUAGUGACUAUUUCAGCAGGUCUUGUGAGCAACCUAGCAGGAUUCAAUCAAAGGAUGGUUAGCAUUUUACUGCUUCUAUUGACUCUCAAAAUUGAUUCAUCUCCAAACUUCGAACUGAAAUCCAAGUCAUUCAACAGAUUCGAGAUCAAGAAAUUGCUUUCCGCAAUGAUUUAUUAACUCAUUCCGAACAAUAAUGUUUGACAUAUUUUUAAAAAAAAGGGAAGUAAAGAGGAAGGAGAUGAUGGCUAAGAUGGUGGCAAGUUGAUUGCUCCUACUAAUGGGAGUUUAUUUUACUUUUGGUUAUUACAAGCUUCAUUUCAUUUUGGGUAUUUCUUUUGAAAUAUUUGUAAUGAUGAACUUUUCUAAUGGAUGGAUGGAUUUUAUUUUGGCGUACAAACUCUUAUCUUCAUCUUACUUAGAUAUAAUUUUAGUAUUUAGAUUGUUGAUACAAAUACUUAAAAGGCAUUAAUGGUUGAUUUACUUGAUUAUGUUUUAAGUUAAGUGUGACGGAUAAGGGGAUUGUACUAAGGGGAAGCAUUUUUUGUUACUGUUGAUAAGCUUCCUAAUUUGAAUUGGUUUUGUUCAAAAAAUUGUAGAAGCAAGUUUCAAAAGUGGCCAGCAAAGUGCCAACGGUAGUGGCCACUAUAGAUAGCAUUGCAAUAGACUCUAUUACUAGCCAUGUUUAGAGUUAGCUUGAAAACGAUGAUGAUAUUAUGAAAAUAUGAAAGUCCAUAUUAUAUUAGUUUUUAUUAUUUAUUGCAUUUUGCUAGUUUAGCUGGUGACACGUUCAAUAAAUAUAAUUUUAAAGGUAUUUUUGUUUUUUUAACUGCAAACUGUUUGGGCAAUAAAUUUAUUUCAAAAGUUGCUUUCAAAUGCUUUAAAAGUUACGGUGUAGUUUACACUAUUCUCAGGUUACAUGGCCUGAAUUUGUCUUUAAAAGAAAGGAAAGAACAAAAUACAAAAUGAAUAAAGAAAAAUCUUUCUGUUCUGUAUAAUCUAUCUACUCCCAUUUACCCGUAGGGUGGCGUUCUUCCGUUCAAUUUCAAUGGCAUUGAUAGAGGGCAGCUUCCACAAGAUGAGUUUAAUCAUCGCCAACUAAUCGUGAAUAACCAAUAUUAAUAAAUAAUCUCCAUUCUUCUCAACCGCCAUAACUGCUCCAUCAACCUGCUAUGUCGGGUGAAAUGGGAACGUACACCUGAGCUACACAAAGGGAUAUAUCUCCUUAGUAAGUUUCUACCAUGGGAGAUUGCCACUUUACCCCCAAAUAUAAGGCCAUCAUUACGUUUUCUCUAUGAAGAAGCCUUGGACACAUCCUUACUUGACCUAUUGUACUUCAUAUGGCUCUUGACUAGUUGCCCUGCUGCAAGUGCUGACAUGAGUGACAGCUCCCCGGCAAGGACAGCACCUGCUACAAUGGUUGCCAGCAUUCUAGAGUUUGCUCCUGGUGUCUCUUUGCUUGCACCCUUCACUCCAAGUAAGUUCAAACAGGCUGACUGAGAUGCAAGCUGUGUUCCACCACCAACGGUACCAACCUAAAAGAUACAGCAACAGAUAUAAUUAGGGGGAUUCAUAAAUACCCAGAUUCUGUUUUGGUAAUGAAAAUCCUUGUGAUGGAUAAUCAGACAGCAACAUAAUCAAUUACCUCGAUGGAAGGCAUUGUGACAGAGAUGUGGAGGUCCUUGCCCUCGUUAACAGCUUCCAUCAUAGUGAUGCAAUGAGAGCUCUCAACAUUUUGAGCCGGAUCUUGGCCCGUAGCUAUGUAGAUUGCAGUGACGAUGUUACUGGCGUGAGCAUUGAAUCCACCCAGAGCUCCAGCCAUAGCUGAUCCAGUAAGGUUCUUGAGCAUGUUAAGCUCAACGAGAGAUUCCACACUUGUCUUCAAGACCUUCCUAACCACAUCACCCUUAAUGAUGGCUUCGCAAACAACAGAUUUGCCUCGUCCUUCAAUCCAAUUUACAGCCGCUGGUUUUUUGUCGGAACAAAAGUUUCCUAUAUGGACAAAUUCAUAAAUUUCAGUAAUCCUAUAUAGAACAGUAAAAACAUAGAACACAAUUACAAGUCUAUGGAAAAGUGAAACUCACCAGAGAUGCCAAUGACAUCCAUGUCAGGGAAAUCAGUUUGAAGGAAAUCCAAAACAUUUUGGACUCCCUUGGAAACCAUGUUCAUCCCCAUAGCAUCACCUGUACUGCAAGUGAAUCUAAUAUACAGAUUCUUUCCAGCAAUUGCACAUUUGAUACCUUGGAGCCUGCCAAACCUACUUGAUCUGCAACCACCAAAAAGUCAAAAUUUUCAAUAUUAGCUUGAAUUUUAAAUCCUUCAAUAUGGAGUUCUAGAAAUAUCAACACAAACCUGUUGAAAACAACAGACAAGGUCUCGAAAUUAUCAGGGUCCUCCAAAUACAACUUCAAAUCAGCUGCCCUUUUCGCAGUACCGAACCUUACACAUGGAGCUCUUGUCAUACCAUCUUUCAAUAGAACACUUGUAGCUCCACCAGACAAAUGAAUAGCCUUACAGCCCCUAUUAGUGCUAGCCACCAAGCACCCUUCCGUGGUUGCCAUAGGAACCGAGUACUCUCUUCCAUUAACCAACAAAGGCCCGGAAAUUCCAACGGGAAUUUGCACGUAGCCAACCGGCAUCUCACAACACUGCCCUAAAAUCGACUCGUAAUCAAACCCAUCCAAGGGCAAUCCAGAUAACGACUUCCCUGUUAAUCUUUGCAACGCUUCCCGCCUGAUUGCGGCCGCCCUCUUGCAAUCACCCAAUUUCGAUUCCAAGGAAUACGAAGGGGUUGUACCAGCCACUACAGAUUUAAUUAUUUCUUCAUCUUCCUCCGUUAGUACCGUCACAGGCUUUUCAUCGAACACCUUCUGAACGGUCACGAUUGGUGCCGCAGGAGGCAGAGGUGGAAGCGAACAAUCGAGAGCUUGCCCGCAAGGGACCUUACGGGCAUCUUCCUUUGCAAGCAGAACUUCAUCAUCCUCUUCCUCGUCCUCGGCAAUCCAAACGUCAGGCGAUGGUUGGAAAACCAAAGAUUGAACGAAGUCAAUCCCAAAGAAACCCAAAAGGUAAAUAAAGGACGCUAAAAAUGAGAGAAUGGCGAUGAUCUCGGAAAAGGUGACGACAUGGAGAGGUGUGGAGGUACGGAUCUUCUCACGCCAACGGGAAAGAAGAAAAUAAACCACCGAGAAGAAGAGGGUGAAGAACAGGGCAUUCGUUAGGUGCAAGGGAAGCGGCAAUGCGUCGGAGGCUUUACCGUGAUCUUCCUCUAAAGGAAUCUUCUUCGAUGGCUUGAGAGAUUGAACAGGUUUAGUCGAAUACAGCCGAGGAGCCUCCAUAUUAGGUGUCGACGGCGGCAGAAGCCCGGCAGUGGAGAAGAAGAAUAGAAGAGGAAUGGAAGUGAGAGAGGAUUUCAGUUAGUUUUACGAUUAUGGGGGAAGGUGGAGUUUGAGAUGCUGGAGUUUAGGGAGGGAAGGGGAGUAUUUAUAGGAUAGAGAGUAAAGUGUAGAGAGAGCGUGAGGAAAAAGGCGCGUGAAUUGAAGUGUUUGGCACUUGUUAGUGCGGAGCUUUACCAAGUGAAGAGUCAAUGGAAGAAUUUCAAGGGAUGUGUUUGGAAGCGUGCGUGCGUGCGUGCAGUGCAUGUGCAUGGUGGGGCAUUGCAUAAUCCUUUCAUUUGUUCUUUUCUCCUGCCACAUUUGGAGAAAAUGCUGAUUUUAAAAAAAUAUUCAGGAAAAUAUUUUUUUUCCAAUAUUUAAAAAAAUAAGUUGAUUUUGAAAAAAAUAAUAAAGCAUAUUUUGCAGAAAUUGUUUUUUUGCUGAAAAAGCUCGUAGGAUUAGUUUCUACUUUUUUAAUACAUUAGCUCAUUUGGUUAGAUGAUUAAAUGUUAAUUAUUUUGUCUUUUAAGUCUCGAGUUUGAUUCUUCUCUUACUCACAUUUGUAUUCUUAUUUCAAGUCGUUUCAAGCUUUGCUUUUAUUUUUAAUUAUGGUUUUUAACACAUUAACUCCUUUUGUUAGAUUGUUAAAUAAUAGUGAUUUUUUUUGUGAAAGAAAGGAAACAAUACAAGCUAAAUCCUCAAAGGACGGUCCACAAACAAUCUUAAGCCUAGACUUCUAAUGCAAACAAUCUUGGCUAGGCUAUCCGCAAUUAGAUUAUUUCCCUUGGGAACAUGCUGAAUUUUCCACUGCUCUAGCUUUUUAAGCGUCUGAUGAAUUCUCCUAAUAAUGGUAGAAUUGGAGAUACCCGUAUCAUCUUCCAUGAUAUCUUUAAUAGCUUCAAUACUAUCAGUUUGAAUAAGGACAUUUUGGAAACACCUAUCUGCCAUAAGAUUCAGCCCAUCCAAAAACCCCCAGAGCUCUGCCUCCAACACUGAACAAUUACCCAAAUAUCUCGCGAACCCUAUAAUUCACUCUCCCUUGUAAUCUCUCACGCAACCUUCCGCAGCUGCAAAGCCCUCGUUAAUCCUAACUGAACCAUCAGUGUUCAAAUAAACCCAACUGUAGGAGAUAUGGCAAUUAGGUAGAGUUCUUUGGGCUUCAAACUUUGAGAUCGAGGAAACAGAGGAAUACUAUUUAACCCAACUAAACUAGAUUUUAAUAAUUUCCUCAACACUCCACGAAAUUCUUUGGAAAACAAAUAUGUUGCGACUCUUCCAAAUACGCCACGUAAUAAUUCCAAAAAGGUAGGACCAAUCGAUUUCCCCUGUCGAAGAAGUCAACUGGUUCUGCAAAUUAGUCGCCGUCCAAUCAAAUAAAGAGCCUGAGUAAAAACUAGAAAAAGCUUGUUGAGGAAUGAUUUUAUCCCAAACUCCUUUGGCUGCAGGAUAAUCUCGGAGUAUAUGCAUCACAUCCUCCAAAACAUGACUACAAAUACUGCAAGUGUUGUUACUCCCACAACCUCGUCUUACUCUUUCAACAUUUGUAAGCAGCUUUUGCUUUAAGACAAGCCAAAUAAAGAAGCGGAUCCGAUAAGGGCCUUUAAAUUUCCAAGGUAUCCUCCAAAACGCUUCCUUGGGAUUCAAAGUGUCUUCACAAUGGGAUUCAAAGUGUCUUCACAAACCUUCCUAUAUGCACUCUUGAGAGAGAGAAGGUGUCAGUCGAGGUGGCUCCCCAAAUAAGUCCUAGCUUCGAUUUCUCUUUUAAGCAUAUUUGUAUUUUUUUUUCACAUUGUUUCAAAUUUUUCUUAAUUCAUCUUUUUAAUUAAUAAUUCUUUUAUUUAUAAAAUUAAAUAAUUAUUUUAAAUUAUCUAAUAAAAAAUAUAUUCUGAUAAAAAUGAUAUUUUUCAUUAUGUUAAAUAUAAUUUAUUUUUUAAAACAUCAACUUUUUGUUAUAUUUUUCUUUAUGUAAAAUAUAUAGGUUCUCCAUGUGGAUAUGGUGAUUUCUAAUAUUAUAAAAUCAAAUAAUUAUUUCAAAUAUCAUUAUUAUUUUUAUACGUAAAAUAUUUUAAAUAUCAUUAUUUUUUCAUGUACAUUGUAGGUAUGAUAUUUCAAAUAUUUUUAUACAUGAAAUAUUUCAAUUAAUUAUUUGAAAUUACAUUAUGUUUAUAUGUGAAAUAUUUCAAUUAAUCAUUUCAAAUUACAUUAUGUUUAUAUGUGAAAUAUUUCAAUUAAUUAUUUCAAAUUACAUUAUGUUUAUAUGUUAAAUAUUUCAAAAAGACGUACAAAAAUAUAUAAUACUAAAAUUUAAUACGUUCAUGAUAUGGAUUGAAAAUAAAAUUACACAUAAUAUUUAUAUUUAUUAAAGAUAAUGAUAUUUGAAAAUGAUUAUUUUAUUUUUAAAUAAAAUAAUUAUUAAUUAAAAAGAUAAAAAAAACUUGAAAACAAUAUAUUUAUUAAUUAAAAAAUUUAAAAGAAAACUUGAAACAACAUGAAAUAAAAAAAAGUACAAAUUUGCUUAGAAUAGGAAUCAAACCUAGGACUCAAUGAUAAAAUCACUAUUAUUUAACCAUAUAACCAAAGAAAUUAAUGUGAGUAGGAGAAGAAUCUAACCCGAGACUCAAGGACAAAACCAUUAAUAUUUAACUAUCUGACUAAAGGAAUUGAUAUAUUAAAAGAGUUAGAAAACACGCACUAUAAAAUGCAUUAUUUUAUUUGUCUCUCCAAAUUUAAAACCUUCUAUCAGUCAGCUGCUAUUUUGAUGUUUUCUGUCACUUAUUUAGCAUUAUUCUGCCUUUUACUUAUUCCUAAUUUUGGGUUGUUUUUCAUUAAUUAAUUAAUUAAUUAGAGAUCAUAUUAUGAAUGUAUUUAAUAUUUAUGGAAGUAAUGUUAAAAAGAAAUCUGGAGGUUUUUCUUUUUGCUCAUGAUUAAUUGGAUAAGUUUACAUUUUUACAAAAAAAAAAUAUUAAGACAAAGUCAGAGUGAAAAAAUAAUUAAGCAAGAAAAAUUCAGAAAAAUAAAUUGAUUCUUCAAUUAAAAAAAUGUAAAGCUUUAUUUGUUUUAUUAUUGAAAAAAAAAGGUCAUUCCCAAUUACUAUCAUUAAUAGUCAAAUUAUUAUUAUUUUUUUUGCAUGUUUAUUUCAUGUUAUAUUUUAACAAAAUAAAAGAAAUAUAUACUUUUUUUUAUAAAGAUUUAUUAAAUUACAGUCCAAAUUUGACAUUUAUAAUAUUAAAUAAAAUCUAAUCCACAUUUGACUCCUUAAUUAUCACGUUUCUUCCUUCCUUAAUUUUCAGUCAGUGAAUCACAUUAAAUUCAAAAUAGGAUGCAUAAUUAUUUAUUAUAUAUACAAGUGAUUGCAUAUAAUAUUAGUUCAUGCAGUCACCAGUAGUUGAAUAUUAACAUUUACAACUAUUUCCCGAGAAAAUGUAUGUGUUUUGUAUUAUAUAUAUAAGUUGGUAAUGCUGAUUGAGAAAAGACUUUUAAGAGGCUUUAAUAUCAUUGAGUUAUUAAGGUUAAGCCACUUGCUCGACUUAGUUUGUGUUUACUACAUGUAUUGUGUGUUUGGCUGUUGCAGAGUAUCCUCAGUGGAGGAGAAAAAUCAUCUGCUAUUUUUUAAAAUUCAUAUUACUAUUUUACUAUUUUACCUUUUUAAAGUAGAUCAUUUUUAUUUUUUUUAGUGUUUAAUGUACCUAGACGAUAAGAUUGAAGUAAUUUCUUUUUCCAAAAUAAUAAGCAUGCAUGAGAAUUGUUCAUCGCCAUGUGCUAAAGACUUGGACUGUUUGUCAAAGUUCUCUUCAAAGAAAUCAUAUAACUCACAAUGAAAGUUUAUAUAUAUAUAUAUAUAUAUAAUAUAAGNNNNNNNNNNNNNNNNNNNNNNNNNNNNNNNNNNNNNNNNNNNNNNNNNNNNNNNNNNNNNNNNNNNNNNNNNNNNNNNNNNNNNNNNNNNNNNNNNNNNAAAUUGGUAUCUCGUUAAACGCGCGUUGUCUUGCUUUUCAAAAAUACAAGUUCAAUUUAAUAGUUAAUCGCGAUCCGAUCAAAAUACAAAUUUUUUUUAAACACGAAGAUUUUUGAAACAAUUUUUUGAAAAUACGAUUUUUUUUAAAAACACGAGAAUUUUAGAGACACGAAAAUUCUUAAAAACACGAAUAUUUUUGAAAACACGACAAAUUUUUGAAAACAAUAUUUUUUUGAAACGCGAAAAUUUUUGAAACACGAGAAUUUUUUAGAAAACAGGAAAAAAAUAAUUUUUUUUGAUCAUCGGAAUUUUUGAGAACACGAAAAUUUUUGAAACACCGGGAUUUUUGAAAACACGAGGAUUUUUGAAACACGAAAAUUUUAAAAACACGAAAAUUUUUAAACAGGGGAAUUUUUUCGAAAACACGAAAUUUUUUGAAUAUUUACAAUUUUUAAAAGGACGUAUCGUAUUUAACAUAAACCGGUGAUAUUCACCCAACAUAGCGAUGAAAUCAUCGAUUUAAUGUUAAAUCGAUUCGUUGCCUUAUUUAUUAAAAUUAAAUUAAAUUAAAUUAAAAACAUAAAUACAAAAAAUAUAAAAGUGCAUAAAAAUACCAAUAAUAUUAAAACGAAAUGACAUAAAAAUACAUGCAUUAAAUUAAAAAUGAAAUAAAUAAAAUUACCGAAAAUGUCUGAAAUACGAGCUUCGCCGAACGGGUUACACAAAUUAAAACCCGUUUUUUCUUUUUUUCUUCUUUUAUCUUCCUUUUUCCUCUCUUUUUCUUUUUUUUUCUGGACUGGGCUGGCCUGUUGGGCUGCUGCUAGGCCUGGGGGCUGCUGCUGCACUGGGCCUGGGGGCCUGCUGCUGCGCUGGGCCUGCAUUUGGGCUGCUUCUUUCUUUUUCUUUUUUUCUGCUUCUUUCUUUCUUUCUUUUUUCUGCUGCUUCUUUUUCUGUUUUGGUUUUUUUUUUUGGGCUGGCCUGCUACUGCUGUUGGGUUGUUGGGUGCUGUGGGUCGGGUCAAUUUUGCGGGUCGGGUCGGCCCGAUUUAAAAUAAUUUUUUUCUUUUUUUCUUUUUUUCUUCUUUCUUCUUCCUCUUUUUUUCUUCUUUCUUUCUUCUUCUUUCUUUCUCUUUUUCUUCCUUUCUUUCUUCCCCGAUCAGGCCCCCCUUCGGGUUGCUUUCGUCGACGGCGACCUACUUCCCACCGACGGCCGACGGUGGCGCUCACGGUGGUCUUCCCUUUCCCCUUUUUUCUCUUUUUCUUUCUUUUUUUUUUCUUUUUGCUUGCUUUGCUUUUUUUUCUUUUUUUCUUGCCUCUUGGUUGUCUUGCUAGGUAUCGGGGCGGCGCGAGUGCGGUGGCGGAUGCGGUGGCGCGGACACGACGGCGGUGGUGCCCCUUUUUGCUGUUGUUUUUGCUCUCCUUUUUUUUUUGCUCAAAAUUUGUUUUUUUUUUUCCUUUGCUUCCUUGCUUCCCCCUUUUUCUUCCUUGCUUUGGGGGUUUUAAAACCCAUUUUAUUUUGAUGUUCUCUUCUUUUUUUGCAGGUUGCAGGUGGGCUAGGGAGGGCUUAGGUCGGCCGCCGCGCGUUGCAGGUGCAACUUGUGUCAGUGGCAGCCAGAGGGACCAAAAUGUAGUGGCAGCAAAACUUUUGGGGCCGAAACAUAAUUUUGAGAAAGUUCAAGGGUCCAAAUGUAAUUUUAAGAAAGUUUAAGGGUCAAAAUGUAAUUUAGAAAAGUUUAGGGGUUGAACUGUAAUUUUGAGAAAGUUUAGGGGUUAAAAUGCAAUUUUAAAAAAGUUUAGGGGUCAAAAUGCAAAAAAAUUAAAAAAUUUAAUUUUAAUUUUUUUUAACGAAAGUUAUUCCCGGACAAAAUUCAGUGAUUACAGCUGCCCCUCUUUGCUCAUCGCUGUGAAACAGGGAUAGAGCAAAGACUUAAAAGCACUGAAUUUUGUUCGAUCAUCCAAAAUUUUUCUUUUUAUUUGAAAAGCAGAAAUCGAGAAUAGCUCAGCGUGAAACCCGAGGCCCAACUCACCUCUAGCAAUAUGAGUUGAUUUUUUUGAAAAGCAAGAAUUGAAAAAUACCUCGACGUGACUCGAGGCUCAACUCACCUCUCGCAAUAUGAGUUGAUUUUGGAAAAAUAGAAAUUGAAAAACACCUCGACGUGACUCGAGGCUCAACUCACCUCUGGCAAUAUAAGUUGAUUUUUGAAAAACAGAAAUUUAAAAUACCUCAGCGAGAGACCCGAGGCUCAACUCACCUCUCGUAAUAUGAGUUGAUUUUUUGAAAAAAUAGAAAUUAAAAAAAAUACCUCAGCGUGACUCGAGGCUCAACUCACCUCUGUAUUAUGAGUUGAUUUUUUGAAAAAAGCAGAAAUUAAAAAAAUACCUCAGCGUGACCCGAGGCUCAACUCACCUCUGUAUUAUGAGUUGAUUUUUUGAAAAAGCAGAAAUUUAAAAAAUACCUCAGCGUGACCCGAGGCUCAACUCACCUCUGUAUUAUGAGUUGAUUUUUUGAAAAAAGCAGAAAUUAAAAAAAAUACCUCAGCGUGACCCAAGGCUCAACUCACCUCUGUAUUAUGAGUUGAUUUUUUGAAAAAAGCAGAAAUUUAAAAAAUAACUCAGCGUAACCCGAGGCUCAACUCACCUUUGUAUUAUGAGUUGAUUUUUUGAAAAAAGCAGAAAUUAAAAAAAAUACCUCAGCGUGACCCGAGGCUCAACUCACCUCUGUAUUAUGAGUUGAUUUUUUGAAAAAAAAAUAGAAUUUUAAAAAAUAUUUCUUGAAAGAAACAGGGUUUCAAAAAACAUCUGGUAAAGCUAAAAGCCUUCUUCUUCAUUGAUUCUGUGCAGUUUUCUCCCAGUAUUCCUUGCUCUACUGGUAUACCUGUAUAUGUUAUUUAUGAUGUUAUUAUGAUAUGCACAUGUUUGUCCUAAAUGCUUUUGUGUCUACAUGAUCAUGCAAUGCACCCUGGGCUAUUUGUCACGUGCCCCACUUUUGAUUUUUGUGAGGGUCCGCAUUUAUUUCCUCAAUUCUUGACUUUUCUCUCCAGUUUUGUACUCAUCCUCAAGUUUGGUGAGUAACCCACAUUUCUUCGUAUAUCACCCUCUUGCCCCCUGUUGAACUUUUUCUUGCUUUAGGGUCCUUGUAUUUAUCAAGUUCUCAUCCAGGUAAUGCUCAACAUUCCCUUUGUUUAGAGUAUGUCAUCUUACUAUUUAUCAUUUAAAUGAAUCAAACACGAGAUGCAUACAAAAGACAAAGUAGGCAUGAAAGAAAUACCUCACAUUCAUUUUUUUAAAAGCAACAAUCGAAGGAAAUUGAUAAGGAAAGUUUAACAAAUAAAUUGUCAUAAAGAAAAGAAAGCGAGUUCAAUGGCCAGAAAUGCUCUAGAUAUCCAAUGCAUGAACUUUCCAAGUUUCUUCAUCCUGGAUCUUUUCGAGCACGGCUUCUUGUGUAGAAGAUUUUGAGCUUCUGAGAAUGCUUCAAAUAUUGUAACCUCGCCAUUCGACUCUCCGUUCAAGCCAAUUGGCUUCUUCAAGCCCGAGCCCACUUUAUUAGGACGCCCUUUUGGGUUUUCAUCCUAAUCCUUUUGUUUAUCAAGACGCCCUUUUCGGGUUUUCAUCUUGAUUUUUCUUUUUUUGUUUUGUUUUUGUUUUGUUCCUUUGUUUUGUUAUUUUUUUGUUUUUUUUUUGUCUCUCUUUUUUUUAGGCAUAAUAUUUCUUCACAGAAUCUGAGUUCACUGGAUUAGGUAAUUCUUUCCCGUCCAUCUCAGUGAAAAUCAGAGCCCCUCCUGAGAAUGCCCUUUUUACAACGUAUGGCCCUUCCCAAUUUGGUGACCAUUUUCCUCGAAAGUCCUUCUGAAUCGAGAGAAUCUUUCUCAGUAUGAGCUCUCAUUCGCAAAAUUCUCUUGGCCGCACCUUUUUAUCAUGGGCCGUAAUCAUUCUCUUCUGGUACAUAUGUCCAUGACAAAUUGCCUUCAAGCGUUUCCCUUUAAUAAGGUUUAGCUGAUCAUAUCGAGCUCGAACCCACUCUGAUUCCUCUAACCUUGUCUCCAUCAAGACGCGCAGGGAUGGGAUCUCUACUUCGAUAGGCAAAACGGCUUUCAUUCCAUAGACCAGAGAAAAAGGAGUUGCCCCUGUAGACAUCCGUACAGAGGUGCGAUAUACGUACAAAGCGAAUGGUAGCUUCUCGUGCCAGUCUUUAUAUGUCUCAGUCAUCUUCCCGAGAAUCCUCUUAAUGUUCUUAUUAGCCGUUUUUACUGCUUCGUUCAUCUUUGGGCGAUAGGGCGAAGAAUUAUGAUGCUUUAUCUGAAAUUGCUCACAUACUUCUUUCAUCAUCUUGUUGUUCAAAUUUAAAGCAUUAUCUGAAAUGAUUCUUUCAGGCAGACCAUAUCGACAUAUGAUCUCAUUUUUUAAGAACCUACAGACCGCAGCCUUUGUCACAUUAGCAAAUGAAGUGGCUUCUACCCAUUUUGUGAUGUAGUCUAUAACCACAAAGAUGAAUCGAUGUCCAUUGGAAGCUUUCGGGGAAAUUGGCCAUAUAACAUCCAUGCCCCACAUAGAAAAAGGCCACGGAGAAGUAAUGACAUGAAGGGGCGAUGGAGCUGCAUGAAUUUUAUCACCAUAAAUUUGACAUUUGUGGCACUUUCGUGUUUAGCCAAUGCAAUCGCUUUCCAUCGUCAGUCAGUAAUAACCAAGUCUCAUAAUCUGCCUGGCCAUAGUGAAACCACUGGCAUGCAUUCCAAAAAUUUCUUCAUGAACCUCUUCAAGUAUCUUUCUAGCUUCAACAGCGUCCACGCACCUAAUGAGCACUUGAUCUUUUCCUUUUUUGUAUAGAAUAUCCCCAUCAAGAAUAAAUCCAACCGUUAUUAUUCUGAUUGUUCUGUUGUCAUUCUCGUUUGCCUGCUCGGGGUACCUUUGAUUCUUGAUAUACUCCAAGAUAUCAUGGAACCAUGGUCGUCCAUCUGACUCCUCCUCAAUACUAAAACAGUGUUCGAGGGUCUCAUAUAUACUCAUUUGGAUGGGCAUUAUCUCAGUUUCUCUGUUUGCUUUGAACAUCGAAGCCAAGGUGGCUAGGGCAUCAGCCAAUUGGUUCUCCUCUCGUGGAAAGUAGUUAAAAGUCACUUCUUUGAAUUCUUUGACCAAUUUCGCAACAAGAUCGUGGUACUUGACUAAUUUUGGAUCUCUCACUUCCCAAUCCCCACGAAUUUGAUAAAUGACUAAUGCUGAGUCCCCGUGCACUUCUAAGAUUUUGAUUUUCCUCUCGAUAGCUGCACGAAGCCCUAUGAUGCAAGCUUCAUAUUCCGCUAUAUUAUUGGUACAGAAGAAGUUCAAUCUGGCAGUGAGCGGGUAAUGAUCUCCCUCCGGCGAUACUAAGACUGCUCCAAUCCCAUGCCCCAAUACAUUUGAUGCACCAUCAAAGCUCAUUUUCCAUGAUUUCUCUCUUGAUGACUCACCCUCUUUUUCUGAAAUGCAAAUCAAGUCUUCAUCUGGGAAAUCAAAUCUCAAAGGCUCGUAUUCUUCCGCUGUUCGACUUGCCAAGAAGUCAGCUAUCGCACUUCCCUUUAUCGAUUUUUGGCUCAUAUACACGAUGUCAUACUCAGUCAGUAAGAUCUGCCAUCGUGCUAUUCUUCCUGAGAGUGCAGGUGACUCCAUCAUGUACUUUAUUGGAUCCAGUUUUGAAAUUAACCACGUCGUAUGAUAUAACAUGUAUUGUCUGAGCCUUCGAACCGUUCAAAUCAAUGCGCGACAAAACUUCUCAAUUGAAGGGUACUUUACCUCAUAUUCUGUGAACAUUUUGUUGAGGUAGUAAAUCACUUUUUCUCUUUUCCCCGACUCAUCAUGUUGUCCCAGUACGCAACCCAUUGAAUUCUCAAACACGGUCUGGUACAAUAUUAAGGGUUUUCCAGGGGUUGGCGGUACUAGUACCGGAGGAUUAGAUAGAUACUGUUUUAUCUUGUCGAAAGCCACUUGACAUUCCUCGUUCCAUUCUCCCGGAUUAUGUUUUUGAAGAAGUCAAAAAAUUGGAUCACACUGAUUGGUAAGUUGGGCAACGAAUCGAGCAAUGUAAUUCAACCUUCCUAAAAAUCCUCUGACUUCCUUUUGUGUACGCGGAGGUGGCAGUUCUUGUAUAGCUUUCAUAUUAUCUUGAUCAACUUCGAUACCUCUCUCACUGACAAUAAAACCUGACAGUUUUCCCGAGGUAGCCCCAAACGUACAUUUGGCUGGGUUAAGUUUCAACUGGAACUUUAUUAACCUUUCGAACAGCUUCUUGAGAUUCCCAACAUGCUCUUUUUCUCCCCGGGACUUGACAAUCAUAUCAUCGACGUAAACUUCUAUUUCUUUGUGCAUCAUAUCAUGAAAUAACGUCACCAUGGCUCUCUGAUAUGUUGCCCCAUCAUUCUUUAAUCCGAACGGCAUUACCUUGCAGCAAAAGGUCCCCCACAAUGUUAUGAAUGUAGUUUUCUCCAUGUCCUCGGGAGCCAUCUUUAUCUGAUUAUAACCUGAGAAGCCAUCCAUGAAAGAAAACAGAGAAUGUUUUGCCGUAUUAUCCACCAAAGUGUCGAUGUGUGGUAAAUGAAAGUUAUCCUUAGGGCUUGCUUGAUUCAGAUCACGAUAAUCCACGCACAUUCGCAACUUGCCAUCUUUCUUCGGCACUGGGACUAUAUUAGCUACCCAUUUUGGAUAUUUAGAGACUUGUAGGAAGCCAGCAUCAAUUUGUUUCUUGACUUCUUCUUUUAUCUUUAACAGCAUUUCGGGUCUCAUCCUUCUUAAUUUCUGCCGAACGGGCUUGCAUUCUGGUUUCAGUGGGAGCUUAUGAACCACUACAUCCUCAUUCAACCCUGGCAUGUCCUGAUACGACCAGGCGAAUACAUCUUUGUACUCACGGAGCAAGGCGAUCAAAUUCUGUUUGGUGUUAUCUGAAAUGGAAAUAUCAAUAUUCACUUCUUGUUUCUUUUCUUCACUUCCCAAGUUCACUGUCUCAACAGAUUCUUGAUGGGGUAGAAUCUGUUUCUUUUCUUGUUCAACCAUUCUCAAUAAGUCAGGAGGCAAGACACAAUUUUUAGCAUCUUCCUCGGCUUCAAAUUCUUCUAAACAAACAGCCUUCUCAAAAUCGAUUUCAGGACUUGUAACGGGAUUGUUCAUGCCAUGGAUAUCUGAGCACUUGAAAGGCGGAUAGAAAAGACUGCUAUAAGAGAGCAUCAAAGUAUUGGAAUCAACAAACACAAUGUUAUGGAAUGAGAUAUAUGGAGAGAAAGGAUAUGAAGCGAUGAGGGUAAUUAUGAAACUGAUAGAAAUAAAAAGAUCAUGACAAAAUGCAUCUUCAUUAAUGUUCAUUGAAAUGAUAAAGAGCAAACACAAGCUCUUACAAAAGGAAUCCCACUAUUUAGGGGCACACAAAAUAAAUGGAGAAGUAACAUUGGGCAUUACUCUGGAGAGGACUUAGAAACUACAAGAAGGUCCACAGCAGUCCAAUUGUUCAAAACAUAUCUUGGAAGACAGGGGUGUAUCAUUGAAACAUCCUCAAUUGUAUCACUCUCAUUGAAUUCAACAUUCAUAGCCCUAGCCCUUAAAUGUGUUCUAUAAGAAUGACGUGAUUCCAGACUUGUAGUAUCACAACUGUGGAUUUUGCGGUUCUGGCCUUAGUGAAUGAUUAGGGUGAUAUGUACAUGCAAUGAAUGAAUGAAUGAAUGACCAAUGGAUGCUAGUCAUGCGUAAAUAUGCAAAAAAAAUGGUGUUGAUUUCAAGAUAGCCCCAUAUUUUGGCAUUUCAUUUAUCAAAAGAGUCAAUUACAAAAUAUUUUGCCAACGAAGAUGACCCUAGUUCUUGAGUUUCACUGUUUCCAAAUCCUAGUCAAAUCUUCAGGGUUAUUCUGACGAGCAUUCGAAGUCGUCUUCUCGGAAAGAUCAGAGAUAUAUCUUUCCUUUAAAUUGUCCCUUUUACUUUCUCGGCCCUCAAAGACCAGUCUCUGACUACGACAUUUUUCUUGAUUACCUGUGUAAUUUGACUCCUUCAUCAGAAACCCGUUUUUGGCAACCAAUCUCUAAUCAACACCUUCCUAAUGAGAUAUCUACGAUGCAUGAUGAAAAAUAAAAUGAAGAACAAAUAACAUUGGUUAGAGAUCACAACAGAUAUAAACAGAAGGAAAAUAAAAAAUAAAUACUAUGGAAAAUUUAACAAAUUAAGCUAGUCAAUCAGCAAUUUGGUGGAACAGACCCACAUUUUUUUUUGCCCCAACAUGCUUUACAAAAACCUACCCCACAUACCAUCAGACAAUCUACCCGACCCAAUUUAUUAAAUAGACCCAAUUCAUUUGCAAAUAAGUGUAAAUGUAAAAGAAAUAAAAGGUAAGAGGCGUUUCUCCCGUGUACUUAUUUUGGUAACUAUCAAACGGACAGAGGUUCGGCAUGGCUCUAAUUGGGUGGCUCGUACGGUUCNNNNNNNNNNNNNNNNNNNNNNNNNNNNNNNNNNNNNNNNNNNNNNNNNNNNNNNNNNNNNNNNNNNNNNNNNNNNNNNNNNNNNNNNNNNNNNNNNNNNUCUUCUAAAGAAAUACAUAUAACUACACAAUAGAAGUUAAUAUAUAUAUAUAUAUAUAUAUAUAAGCAUAGUCAGGCCAACCAAUGUAGAAAAAAACUAACAUGAUAUCAUCUUUUCUUAUUGCCCAGUAUUUAUUUAGCAAAUAUUGACUGUAACAUUGUCAUGAUUAUUUUUGGACAAGAACAAGGUCAUUUCCACACAGGUAGAAGUGCAGUCCAUGCUCAUAGCUUACAGAAAAAAAAAAUAUUUCAGUAAAGAUUAUGUAGCGACCUAAAAAUUUGGGGUGAGCGCUAAUCGAAAUGAUUGUUGAAAAUUUGAAGACGGUGUUUCGAUUUUAUUUGAAAAAGGAGUCGCCACCGAUCUUUUUUCCUAGGUGUGAUCGGACACCUAAUAAAUUCUCUUUUAGAAGAAGAAUUUAUUUUUUUAAUUUUUCUAAAAAAGAGGUAAUUUUAGGUCUACGUGAAAAUCCAGAGAAAAUUAGGGUUCGGGAGUCGGUUACACGCGAGGAAGGUAUUAGCACCCUCGCGACGCCCAAAAUUGGUAUCUCGUUAAACGCGCGUUGUCUUGCUUUUCAAAAAUACAAGUUCAAUUUAAUAGUUAAUCGCGAUCCGAUCAAAAUACAAAUUUUUUUUAAACACGAAGAUUUUUGAAACAAUUUUUUGAAAAUACGAUUUUUUUAAAACACGAGAAUUUUAGAGACACGAAAAUUCUUAAAAACACGAAUAUUUUUGAAAACACGACAAAUUUUUGAAAACAAUAUUUUUUUUGAAAACGUCGAAAAAUUUUUUGAAAACACGUAGAACUUUUUUUAGAAAAACUAGGUAAAAAAAACUAAAUUUUUUUUUAGAAUUCAAUUUUUGAGNNNNNNNNNNNNNNNNNNNNNNNNNNNNNNNNNNNNNNNNNNNNNNNNNNNNNNNNNNNNNNNNNNNNNNNNNNNNNNNNNNNNNNNNNNNNNNNNNNNNNNNNNNNNNNNNNNNNUUUGAAUAUUUACAAUUUUUAAAAGGACGUAUCGUAUUUAACAUAAACCGGUGAUAUUCACCCAAUAUAGCGAUGAAAUCAUCGAUUUAAUGUUAAAUCGAUUCGUUGCCUUAUUUAUUAAAAUUAAAUUAAAUUAAAUUAAAAACAUAAAUACAAAAAAUAUAAAAGUGCAUAAAAAUACCAAUAAUAUUAAAACGAAAUGACAUAAAAAUACAUGCAUUAAAUUAAAAAUGAAAUAAAUAAAAUUACCGAAAAUGUCUGAAAUACGAGCUUCGCCGAACGGGUUACACAAAUUAAAACCCGUUUUUUCUUUUUUUCUUCUUUUAUCUUCUUUUUUCCUCUCUUUUUCUUUUUUUUUUCUUGACUGGGCUGGCCUGUUGGGCUGCUGCUAGGCCUGGGGGCUGCUGCUGCACUGGGCCUGGGGGCCUGCUGGGCCUGCUGCUGCGCUGGGCCUGCAUUUGGGCUGCUUCUUUCUUCUUCUUUUUUCUGCUUCUUUCUUUCUUUCUUUUUUCUGCUGCUUCUUUUUCUGUUUUGGUUUUUUUUUUUUGGGGCUGGCCUGCUACUGCUGUUGGGUUGUUGGGUGCUGUGGGUCGAGUCAAUUUUGCGGGUCGGGUCGGCCCGAUUUAAAAUAAUUUUUUUUUUCUUUUUUUCUUCUUUCUUCUUCCUCUUUUCUUCUUUCUUUCUUCUUCUUUCUUUCUCUUUUUCUUCCUUUCUUUCUUCCCCGAUCAGGCCCCCCUUCGGGUUGCUUUCGUCGACGGCGACCUACUUCCCACCGACGGCCGACGGUGGCGCUCACGGUGGUCUUCCCUUUCCCCUUUUUUCUCUUUUUCUUUCUUUUUUUUUUCUUUUUGCUUGCUUUGCUUUUUUUUCUUUUUUUCUUGCCUCUUGGUUGUCUUGCUAGGUAUCGGGGCGGCGCGAGUGCGGUGGCGGAUGCGGUGGCGCGGGCACGACGGCGGUGGUGCCCCUUUUUGCUGUUGUUUUUGCUCUCCUUUUUUUUUGCUCAAAAUUUGUUUUUUUUUUUUUUCCUUUGCUUCCUUGCUUCCCCCCUUUUCUUCCUUGCUUUGGGGGUUUUAAAACCCAUUUUAUUUUGAUGUUCUCUUCUUUUUUUGCAGGUUGCAGGUGGGCUAGGGAGGGCUUAGGUCGGCCGCCGCGCGUUGCAGGUGCAACUUGUGUCAGUGGCAGCCAGAGGGACCAAAAUGUAGUGGCAGCAAAACUUUUGGGGCCGAAACGUAAUUUUGAGAAAGUUCAAGGGUCCAAAUGUAAUGUUAAGAAAGUUUAGGGGUCAAAAUGUAAUUUAGAAAAGUUUAGGGGUUGAACUGUAAUUUUGAGAAAUUUUAGGGGUUAAAAUACAAUUUUAGAAAAGUUUAGGGGUCAAAAUGCAAAAAAAAUUAAAAAAUUUUUAAUUUUAAUUUUUUUUUAACGAAAGUUAUUCCCGGAUAAAAUUCAGUGAUUACAGAUUAAAUAGUUGUAUAUGAUAUUGAUAUCAUAGAUAGAUGAAUCGAUUUAAUUUAAGUCGGUUCAACUUAUAAAUACCUUAAUUUUAUAUAAUAUAUAUGUGUAUUUAUAUUAUUAUUUAAGUUCUUGAUUGGGUUAGCGUCACUCUCAACCGGGUCACCAAAUUUACUAGGAAAAUUAUUGAAAUGUUCUUUCGUAAUUAAAAUAAGUUGUAUUAUUCGAAGGUAUUUUUGCCUUUUUAUUUUUAAAAAGUAAAUAAAAAUAUGUGUAUGGUGGUAUUUGAAUCCAAACUAAUUGGGUUAGAAAAAUAUUUAAUUUAUCACUCAACUAAAACCUUUUAUUUUGAUAUUUUUAUAUAUUUUUUAUUUUAUUAUACACACUUUAUUUUAAUACCGUACAUAUUUCAUGUGUUAUUAUGCUUAAUUAGUUUCAAAUCAUGUGUUUCAUUAUUUAUUAUUUGUUAUUUUUAAACACAUAUUUGUACUCUAAUAUUUAUAAAAUAACAUAAUCCUCGAAAAGGAAACAUGCACUUCUAGGUAAGUUAAGUUUUUACCAAAUGACACAUGUUGAUAAUUGACACUUUAGGUGGUUAUUGAUGGCCUUGUAAAGUCUUUCGAUCUUAACAUUAUACAAACCAAAACCUUAGUAUUGCACAAACAAUUAUUUUAGUAUCUUUAGAAUAAUAUGAUUAUCAUAAGUUUAAAAAUAUCUGAUGCGGAAUUGAAAUUGGUCAUUAGAUUUUAUGAAGAAGAACACCCGAUAAAUUGAUUUCUCCCUCUUAACCUUUUUCCCUUAACUACACAAAUAAGGAAAAAAAAUUUAUGUGUUUUGUGUGCAACUCUAAUAAGUAAAGUGGGAUUAAUUUAUAAUGAUAAACUUUUAAUCUGAUCAAGUAACCCAACGAAAUGAUAAAAUUUAAUUUCUAUUAAAGUAAAACUUUUAGGCCCCAUGAUUUUAGAGUUAUUGGGUCCACAUAAUUGGGAUAAAAAUCUUACAUUCUCUCACUUGGCCUAAUGAGAUAAAACAUAAACUUUAAUAGAACAAUUGUUGAGUGCGCAUAAAAAUAAUAUAAAAUUUGUCAUUAAAAUUUGAUUAGGUUGACCUCAUAUAAUGUGGCAGAUGAUUAAUAGAAAAUAAACAUGUUAAAUUGACAAAUUUUGAUAGAAACUGCCAACGAUAAUAAUAACCAAAUUAGAAUUUUUAAAUUGAAAAGGGAGGACUGAAAUUUUAACUUUUAAAGUACAAGAACCCAAUCUCAAAUUAAUUACAAGUACAGGGACUAAUAACACAUGUUAGCUUCUUCUUCUUUUUUAGGUAACAAAAAUAAUCAAUAUAUGACCAACAUGCGGUAGAAAUUUAUUUUAUUUUAUUUUAAAUAUUAAAUUACUUUUAGUUUAAUUAAAAUUUUUAAUUUUUUUUAAUUUAACAAUUGAACCGAGUGAUAAAAUACUUGCAAAUAAAUAUUCUGUGGGCAAAGAUUUAAUCAUUAAAUAUUACAUUUUUAAUUAUUUCAUUUAAGUACGUCGCAUAAAAAUAGUAAAAAGCGAAAGUAUUAAUAUUAUAAUUUUGAGACACCUUACAUGCGAUUCAAUUGUCUAAUCCAAAUGCGCGACUUCACAUUAUGUUGUCAGGGUAACUCAAACUAACUUGAUAUCAUUUUACUAAGUAACAUACAUUCAAACAAAUAAAUCACGUAUAAUUUCAAUUAAAUCAUGUGUACAUGUUUAAUGAAUGUCAAUUGAUCUAGUUUAAAGUAUUUAGGAGUUGUAUAGGAUCAAAUAUAGAGUUGGGAUUCGAAUCCAAACUCAUUUAUCCAAAUUUUAUAGGGGGUUUCGAGACAUGACAUUCAUGUCUCGAGACACUAAUAUAAUAUGGUCUAAAAUGAACAUUUAAAUGCAUUCAAUCACAAAUCAAUUCGUACCUAACUUAAACAAACUUUACACAAUUUCAUAUGCAUCAAUUUAACAAACAAAUAUAUAACCAAAUAUCCAAACAAUUUAACAUCAAGUCACCUCAACCUAAUGUAGUUAAAUAAAUGGCUUAAUACUUAAAACCAUGCAAACUCAUUCAUUACUCAAGCAUUAAAACUCAACAAAAGAAACCUUAUAGGUCCAUAGCUAACCAAAGCAUACCAUAUUGACCAAAACAAUAUUUAACUCGAGCUGAAUUACUGACCUUAAAUGCUUUACAAUUUUGAUCUACUAAAAACCUGUUUGAGAUCUGCGCAUAAAAACAAACACAACUAUACGUUGAGUAUUAAAUACUUAAUGGUGCUAACAUAAUCUGAAUUCAAAUAUAAAACAUUAAGCAAUUUAAUAUACUAAAUAAACAUUUUAUUUAAUAGAUUCAAUAUCAUAAUACUAAGGGCCAGUUCUUCAUUGCUUAACAAAAGCACUUCUGACUCCAAAAGUACUUUUGAAAGAAAAACUGUGAAGAACAAGCUGCUUUUGGCUGAAAUUUUUAGCUUUUUUCUGAAAAGGAGCUGAAAAUGAGAAGCUAAAAAUUUUAGCUUUUACUCUCCCAAAAGCACUUUUUGUGCUUAAUUACUUUUUCACCCCUCCAAUAACAUAGUAUUUUCCUUUUUUUUCUUGGUGCUUAAUUACAAAUGUGUUAAAAUUAUUAAUUAAAAAUAAAAAAUAUUUCUUAAAAUACUAAUUACAAAUAUUUAAUGGUUAUAUUUAAAUAUUUAAAAUAUAGUUUAUAUAUUCUAAUUAAAUUUUAUAAAUAAUUAAUAUUUAUUGCUUAAAAAUAUUUAAAAUUUAUAUUUCAUAUAUUAAAAUAUUAACAAUAAGCUAUAAUAAUUUUUUUAUAUUCUUACUAAAAUAUAAUAAUAUUAACUAAUUUAAAUAUUAUUUAAAUGCAUAUUUGUUACUUGAUAAUAACAUGUCUAAAAUGGACAUUUUAUUUCUCAAAAGCACUUUUUGACAGUAAUACUAAACACUCAAAUUUUAAGCCAAACUUUUCAAAAGCACUCCUCAAAAGCACUUUUCCACAGCACUUUUUAAAAGCAAUGAAGAACUAGCCCUAAGAUGGCAUUCUAGUAUUUCAUUACCCAAUUUCAUAUCGAGCAACAAUCAUCCCGUAACUUUAUACCAUUUCAUUUAUUCACCCUCAGGGUAUUUAAGUGACAUUUACCUAUGCAAUCAAUUUUCUCCUCGUGAGGCAAGUUCCAAUGUCACGAUACCCAAAACAAUAUUGAAAUUGAGAGUCUUGGAGGUCUCGGUGUCAUGAUACCCAUCUUUGGUAUCGCUAUAUCACUGGAGUUGACCUUAAGUUUUUUCACUUCAGCAUUGUUAGGGGUAUUACAACUUUCAUGACCUCAAUGUCGUGAUACCCCGUUCUAAAUGAUAAUUUCCUCGAGUUUGGGCCAUUAUCAACUUCCUACACCAACUCAAUCAUAUCACUAGGUCCCCCAUGGCGCCAUUUGGGUCUUAAUAUGGCAUAAAACUAAUAAAAAUUAUUAAUUAAUAACAAAAACUAAAAAUCGACAAAAGUAAAGAAAAUACACUUAUAUUGCUUGAGAAUAAGCUCCUCGAGUGUAAUGGAAAGCCUAAUUUGACAUAUCAAAUUACGUCAGAUCACUUGUUCAGCACAGGUUCAAACCGUGUUACCCCCUUCCUCUACCCCUAAUAUUGUAUAAAAAAACUAAUUGCUAAUCUUCUAAUGUAGUCUCUGUACUAUAGUACUUAAUAGUUUAUAUAAUUUAAUUACUAAAUAAUUUUAUUUCUAAUUUAUCUUUUAUUUUUUUAAUCUCACACUCGCUUUGUAAUUGCUCGAUCAAAAUUUUGAACAACUCGAUUUAAUAAAUUUGAUCCCACAAUUAACUUUUCCGACAUUGAAAAAAAUCGAAUCAAUACAAUAUUAUAAAAAAAAAUUUUAAGUAUAGGUGUAGUUAGGAGUCCAUGUUUUUUUAUAUUAAUCUAGUUUGAAGAAAAAAUCAAAUAAUAAAAAGUAGCAAAUUUUAAAAAUUUAUUUUCCUAUAAAAAAAGUUGUUAAAUUAAAUUAUUAUCUUGAAUGAUGUUUUGGUAUAAAUUAUGCAUGGGUUCUUUUUAAAUCUAUUUUGAUUUAAAUUUCGUUGUGUGUGGACCAUAUUGAUUUAUAAUAUGUUUGGUUUGUGUUUUGUUUUUUUUUAAAAUAAAUUUGGGCUAAACUGGUGAACGAAAUAUAUCUUUAGAUGCUAAAUAGAAAUUAAAAAUUUAAAUAACCAAAACAAAUAUAUAUAUAUAUAUAUAUAUAUAUAUAAAAAUUCAAGAGCUCAAACAUGAAUAAAGGCUAAUAAAUUUUGUGAUAAUUUUCUCUCACCUAUAGGCAAAUAAUUUCAAAAAAUAAAUUAUUUGAUAUAUUAUUAAUAAAUUUUAAAAUUUUUAUUUAUGAAUUUAAUAAAAUGUUAUAAUUUUUACUAAAAUGAAAUAUAUUAAAAUAAUGUAACAAAAUUCAUAUUUUGAUUUAUUUGUGAAAAUUAAAAAUCUCAUCAAGUUUAUAUAAAAAUGUACUUUUUAUUUUAAAUAAACGAUAGAAUCAUUUGGUUGCACCGAAGUGCCUAUGUGUUGGGUCGGAUAGCACACAAAAUUUUCCUAAAGCUCUUGCCUAAGCAUUAUUUAGGAUGAUGGGCUUUGAUUGAUCUGUUAGCCCAAAAGGUUAUAUUAAUAUAUAUUUUAUAAUUAAAUUUAAAUAUAUUUUUUUAUUUUUAAAUGUGCUUCAGCACACUGAAAUUCACAAUAAUAACAAACGUUAAUUAAAUUAAUUAUUUAAAUACUAACUUUUUAUAAAUAAUGAUUUCGAUUUACAUGUUGAUCUAAGUCAUGCAAAAUGUCUAACGUACCAAUUUAUAUAACCAAAGAAAAUACUUUAAUUUGUAGUGUAAGCUACACCAUUAGUCAAUAAAUUAUUAAUACAUUUUUAUUUUGGUCAUUGAACUACUUAAAAGUUCUCAUUUAAGUCAUUAGACUGUUAAAAUCGAUGCUACAUGGUUUUCUCAAUUCGCAUUGCUUGCGCUAAUCGAAAGCUCUCUUUCUCAUUUUCUUCUACAGUUGAGUUUUUUUUUUAUGAAACAAUUUUGGAUGUUACAAAUCUAAAAAACCAAAAUUUAAACAACUUUUCCCUCCGAUCUCUUACAUUGAUCAUCACAUUGAUCUGGAUCUAAAGUAUGUUCUUUUACUCGUCAAUGGAUAUUGAUCCACAUACUGAUCCUCGAAUUGUUGCUUGAAACUCGCUGGUGGAACUUAAAAAAAAAAACUUAAUAACUUAGUGACUUAAAUAAAAACUCUUGAAUAGUUCAGUGACUUAAAUGAAAAUUUUAAAAUAGUUCAAUGACCAAAUUAUAAUUUUUUAGUUAAGUGACCAAAACAAAAAUUUACCCAUAAUUGUGUAUUUUUCACUAAUUUGUAUCACUAAAUUACUUUAAGGGAUAUUGAGGAGUGACAAUACUUGUUACAGAUAGGCAAAGUUUUCAUCAAAAUUUGAAAAAAAACCUAGUGCAAUAGUUAUAUAAACUUUAGGGUAAAUUACAUCAAUUGUCCCUAAUCUUUAAUUAAAAUUAUAUUUUAGUCACGUAACUUUCAAAAGUUACAUAAUUGUCAUUAAAGUUAUCGAAAUGUUACAUUUUAACCACUCAUCAUUUAACUUUCGUUAAGAAGAUGAUGUGGCACAUUAAUUUAACGGGUUAGUCCCUGAACAAUAAUUAAAAUAUCAAAUUGACACUUUUAAAAUUUUUCUUUAUAAUAAUUCUAAAAAAUUUAAAGGGUAAACUACUCCAAUAGUCACUUAAGUUUUAAUGCGUUCCUAUUUUGGUUACCAGAUUUUUUUUUUUGUUAAUUUAGUCAUUUCCAUUAGAUUAAUUGUCAUUUUUAGUCACUCCAUCGUUAAAAUACAUUAGUCAUUGAACGGAAUGUUGAUGUGGCAAUCUUUUGAUUGGUAUAAUAACAAAUUUAGCCCUUAACACUUUACAUAUUCUGUUUACUUGGUCCUAUGUUGAAAAAAUAAACAAAUUUAACUCAAUGUUUACACAUUUUGUCAAUUUAGUCCAAAUUCAAAAAUUUUAUAAUUUUAAAAACUUGAAAAAAUAUAUAUAAUUUAUUAUAAAAAGACAUAAAACUAAAAAAAUAUUAAAAAAAUAUAUAAAAUUACUUGGUUGGGCUUUGAUUGUAGAUGAAACAAUUUAUACUUUUCUUUGGCUGAUGCAAACUUGGUUUAUAGCAAUGGGGGAAUAGGCUCCGCAAGUGAUGCUCACUGAUCAAAACAAUGCCAUAAAAGUAGUUGUAGCUGCUGUGUUUCCUGCUGCACGACGUUGUUUCUGUGUUAUGGCAUGUCUUGGGUGACUAUCUAAGUAAUUUACCCUUUAAAUUUUUUAGAAAAAGAUUAAAAGUAUCAAUUUGAUAUUAUAGUUAUAGUUCAGGGGCUAAAUUAGUUAUUAACCCUUUAAAUUAACAUGUCGCAUCAUUCUCUUAACGAAAGUUGGGUGAUUUUAAUCAAAUGUGCAGUUUAUCUUAUGUAUAAACACCGUAUUAAUAGAGUUUAAUAAAUAUUGUUUUCGUAUAUGUAGAUUAGAUCGCUCAAUAGUUGAAUAGGUUACAUAGAUGAGGAAGUUAGGUUUGUAUAAAAGAAGAUUGAAAUGAUUCAAUCAUUUUUGUGAAAUAAUAUUGAACAAAUAAAAUUUGAACAUUCAUAAUAUUUUCUCAAAAUUACGAACUUCAUCGCAUAAAAAGAAAACACGAGACUAACGACUGUUUCUCGUUUGUUGACCAAUAUUAUCCGGAAGUAGCUUUCAAAUGCUUAAAAAGUAACAGUGUAUUUUACAAUAUUAUCAGGCUACAUGGCCUCACUUUGUAUUCAAUAUAUAUUAUAAAAGAAAGCAAAGAACAAAAAUACAAAAUAAAUAAAGAAACUUACAUAGUGCUUUAACUUAUUACAAAGGGAUUUGUCUCCUUAGUAUGUUUCUACCAUGGGAGAUCGCCACUUUUAUCCCAACUAUCAGGUUAUCAUUACGUUGCCUUGGAGACAUCCUUACUUGACCUAUUGUACUUCAUAUGGCUCCUAACUAGUUGUCCUGCUGAAAUUGCAGACAUGAGCGACAGCUCCCCGGCAAGAACAGCAGACGCUACAAUGGUUGCUAGCGUCCUAGAGUUUGCCCCCGGUGUCUCUUUGCUUGCACCCUUCACUCCAAGUAAGUUCAAACAGGCUGAUUGAGAUGCAAGCUGAGUUCCACCACCAACAGUCCCAACCUAAAAGAUACAGCAACACAGAUAAUUAGGGACUAACAUAAAUAUCCAGAUUUUGUUUUGGCAACGUAAGUCCCUGUGUUGGAUAAUCAGACAGCAACACUAUCAAUUACCUCGAUGGAAGGCAUUGUGACAGAGAUGUGGAGAUCCUUGCCAUCAUUAACAGCUUCCAUCAUCGUGAUGCAAUGCGAGCUCUCGACGUUUUGAGCCGGAUCUUGGCCGGUAGCUAUGUAGAUUGCAGCAACGAUGUUACUGGCGUGAGCGUUAAAUCCACCCAGAGCUCCAGCCAUAGCUGAUCCAGUAAGGUUCUUCAGCAUGUUAAGCUCAACGAGAGAUUCCACACUUGUCUUCAAGACCUUCCUAACCACAUCACCCUUAAUGGUGGCUUCACAGACAACAGAUUUGCCUCGUCCUUCAAUCCAAUUUACCGCAGCCGGUUUUUUGUCGGAACAAUAGUUUCCUAUAUGCACAAAUUCAUAAAUAUCAGUGAUCCUAUGUCGGACAGUAAAAAGACAUAAUUGCAAGCCUAUACAAAAAAAUGAAACUCACCAGAGAUGCCAAUGACAUCCAUGUCAGGGAAAUCAGUUUGAAGGAAAUCCAAAACGUUUUGCACUCCCUUGGAAACCAUGUUCAUCCCCAUAGCAUCACCUGUACUGCAAGUGAAUCUAAUAUACAGAUUCUUUCCAGCAAUUGCACAUUUGAUACCCUGGAGCCUGCCAAAUCUACUUGAUCUGCAACCACCAAAAAGCCAAAAUUUUCAAUAUUAGCUUGAAUUUUAAAUCAAUCAAUAUGGAGUUCUAGAAAUACACAAACAAACCUGUUGAAAACAACAGACAAGGUCUCGAAAUUAUCAGGGUCCUCCAAAUACAACUUCAAAUCAGCUGCCCUUUUCGCAGUACCGAACCUUACACAUGGAGCUCUUGUCAUACCAUCUUUCAAUAGAACACUUGUAGCUCCACCAGACAAAUGAAUAGCCUUACAGCCCCUAUUAGUGCUAGCCACCAAGCACCCUUCCGUGGUUGCCAUAGGAACCGAGUACUCUCUUCCAUUAACCAACAAAGGCCCGGCAAUUCCAACGGGAAUUUGCACGUAGCCAACCGGCAUCUCACAACACUGCCCUAAAAUCGACUCGUAAUCAAACCCAUCCAAGGGCAAUCCAGAUAACGACUUCCCUGUUAAUCUUUGCAACGCUUCCCGCCUGAUUGCAGCCGCCCUCUUGCAAUCACCCAAUUUCGAUUCCAAGGAAUACGAAGGGGUUGUACCAGCCACUACAGAUUUAAUUAUUUCUUCAUCUUCCUCCGUUAGUACCGUCACAGGCUUUUCAUCGAACACCUUCUGAAUGGUCACGAUUGGUGCCGCAGGAGGCAGAGGUGGAAGCGAACAAUCGAGAGCUUGCCCGCAAGGGACCUUACGGGCUUCUUCCUUUGCAAGCAGAACUUCAUCAUCCUCUUCCUCGUCCUCGGCAAUCCAAACGUCAGGCGAUGGUUGGAAAACCAAAGAUUGAACGAAGUCAAUUCCAAAGAAACCCAAAAGGUAAAUAAAGGACGCGAAAAAUGAGAGAAUGGCGAUGAUCUCGGAAAAGGUGACGACAUGGAGAGGUGUGGAGGUACGGAUCUUCUCACGCCAACGGGAAAGAAGAAAAUAAACCACCGAGAAGAAGAGGGUGAAGAACAGGGCGUUCGUUAGGUACAAGGGAAGCGGCAGUGCGUCGGAGGCUUUACCGGUAUCUUCCUCUAAAGGAAUCUUUUUCGUUGGCUUGAGAGAUUGAACAGGUUUAGUAGAAGAUAGCCGGUGAGCCUCCAUUUUGGGUGUCGACGGUGGCGGAAGCCCGAGACGAACGGAAAUGAGAGACAGCCGACGAUUUCAAUUAGUUUUCAGAGAAGGG